GACUAACCCGCAAGGGAAGGGAGCCGUCGAAGGUAGGGCCGUGAUUGGGGUG
rnacentral:rRNA from 1 species